rnacentral:rRNA from 2 species
GACGAACCGUGCGAACGUUGUUCGGAAUCACUGGGCUUAAAGGGCGCGUAGGCGGGCAUUCAAGUCAGGGGUGAAAUCCUCCAGCUCAACUGGAGAACUGCCUUUGAUACUGGGUGCCUCGAGUGAGGUAGGGGCGUGCGGAACUGAUGGUGGAGCGGUGAAAUGUGUUGAUAUCAUCAGGAACUCCGGUGGCGAAAGCGGCGCGCUGGACCUCUUCUGACGCUGAGGCGCGAAAGCUAGGGGAGCAAACGGG